rnacentral:rRNA from 1 species
GACUCUGGGAUAAGCGCUGGGAACGGCGUCUAAUACCGGAUACGAGCUGCGAAGGCAUCUUCAGCAGCUGGAAAGAAUUUCGGUCAGGGAUGAGCUCGCGGCCUAUCAGCUUGUUGGUGAGGUAAUGGCUCACCAAGGCGUCGACGGGUAGCCGGCCUGAGAGGGUGACCGGCCACACUGGGACUGAGACACGGCCCAGACUCCUACGGGAGGCAGCAGUGGGGAAUAUUGCACAAUGGGCGAAAGCCUGAUGCAGCAACGCCGCGUGAGGGAUGACGGCCUUCGGGUUGUAAACCUCUUUUAGCAAGGAAGAAGCGAAAGUGACGGUACUUGCAGAAAAAGCGCCGGCUAACUACGUGCCAGCAGCCGCGGUAAUACGUAGGGCGCAAGCGUUAUCCGGAAUUAUUGGGCGUAAAGAGCUCGUAGGCGGUCUGUCGCGUCUGCUGUGAAAACCCGAGGCUCAACCUCGGGCCUGCAGUGGGUACGGGCAGACUAGAGUGCGGUAGGGGAGAUUGGAAUUCCUGGUGUAGCGGUGGAAUGCGCAGAUAUCAGGAGGAACACCGAUGGCGAAGGCAGAUCUCUGGGCCGUAACUGACGCUGAGGAGCGAAAGGGUGGGGAGCAAACAGGCUUAGAUACCCUGGUAGUCCACCCCGUAAACGUUGGGAACUAGUUGUGGGGUCCAUUCCACGGAUUCCGUGACGCAGCUAACGCA